UGUCAAACAGACCAUAAGUACCGAUUCCAAAUUAAAAAUUUGGUCAUUCCGUAGAAAACUUUUCUUCGUGUAUAGCUGAAGUAAAAAUGAUUAGUAAGAAGAUGAGCUCCAAUUCUCGUUUAAGUCUUAUUACAUUCUGCAUUUUAACAAUUAUCCAAACCACAUUGACUCUUAAUGAUGGCAGUGUAUCUAAAGUAAACCGGACGAAUUUAGCCACCAGAGGGUCUUUAGACAAUCUUAUUCCGCUUCCUUUUAAAGACAAUUCGACCACUACGAGUACCGCAUCCCCUUUGAGCAGUUUGUUAAAUCUCGAAAACCAUGACGAUGGCCAGAUUAAUGAACUAAACAGAGAAAAACGGAAAAAAGGAAAAGGGAAAGGAGGAAAAGGUCGUGGAUAUGGUGGGUACGGAGGAUACGGUGGGUACAGCAGUUACGGAGGUUACGGUGGGUAUAACAACUAUGGUAACGGGUACAGAAACUACCGAGGGUAUGGAGUAAUCUGAAGGCCUAGACUCGUGAAAAUACAUUUUGAAAGUAAAAUCCUUCUCAGAAGUAACCUAUACGAAGUUCAGAGUAACGUUAACAUGAUCACGAGUAACGCGUUUACUCUGGAUUUAGCAUAGAUUACUUAAUUAAGAAUCGAGAAUGCAUUUUUAAAAGGGUGACAUUAUUUUUAAGAGUGUUUACGAAGCCUGCAUAGUCCCAACACCUAAUGUAAUAUUAUGCAGUAAUUAUGUAACUUCGGAAUUCUCUUUAAUGUAAUUUUUCUGAACAGGGUACCGUGGAAAUCGUAACUUCGGCGGGUACAAUGGUGGUGGCAAUAAUCGAGGUGGUAACAAUGGUGGUGGUAACAAUGGAGAUGGUAACUUUUAAAGGGUGCAAUAAGACAUUUUUUGGGAUCCGACGUUUUUGGAUUGUUUGAAUACAUUCAUGUAUUAUAGCUAUAUAUUUACUAAUAAUAAUUAUACGAAUAUCAGGUACAAUACUCGAAGAACUGCGACUUAGCUAUUUCUAUCUAACGUUAAACCUCUCCUUAUUUUUUAUAGGUUAAAUCUAUUUUAAAUAAUUAUGGCUGAUUUUGUGGAACACUUUUUAAAUGUUUGUCAGCACCCUCCGCAUUUAAAAUCAAAAUUUGUAAAAAUUUACUUAAUUUAUCAAAUGUCUGAAAUAAAAAGUACAUCCAUAUUUAGCGAAUAAUAUUUCAA